UACGUAGGGGGCUAGCGUUGUCCGGAAUCAUUGGGCGUAAAGAGCGUGUAGGCGGCCAGGUAGGUCUGCUGUGAAAACUCGAGGCUCAACCUCGAGACGUCGGCGGAAACCAUCUGGCUAGAGUCCGGAAGAGGAGAGUGGAAUUCCUGGUGUAGCGGUGAAAUGCGCAGAUAUCAGGAAGAACACCCGUGGCGAAGGCGGUUCUCUGGGACGGUACUGACGCUGAGACGCGAAAGCGUGGGGAGCGAACAGG
rnacentral:rRNA from 1 species